rnacentral:lncRNA from 1 species
AAUUUCAUCUAGGGGAUUCUUGGGGCAGCCUAAGAAGGUCCUGCCCGGGUUUGGGAACGCUUGUCAGGACUGGUGUGUGGCUAGUAAAGGUCUCAAAGGCUGCGGCUGCGGAGUCCGUUUCUCAGGAGGCUGCCCUGAGAGCCAGGCCUGAGCGUGGAGGGCCCGCCCGUUCGCAGCAGAGUCCUUGUCACUGUAGGCAGCGCCAUGCACAGGGCAGGACAGAUGGUUUUCCUCCGCCACGCACCAAGGCUGCCCUUGGCUAGGUCCUGGUGCUGGGACCUGCCACCAGCACCCAGCGCGGGAUGGCUGUGCGCAAACGCGCUGGGGAGAAGGCGCCCCUACACUUGGGUCCCCUCUGCUGGUGGUGCUGGCCGCACAGACGCGCUCUGGUGGCUAAAACAAAGUUGGGACAAAAUGGGCUGUGAGGAAUGCGCGGAGAAAUCCUCCUGCCCCUGCAAGCAAGCCGCCUCCCACUUGACGUCACUGGUCCGUGGUGGGGCGCGCAGAGCCAGACGCCAGGCAGGUGCACAGGACCCGCACUAGUCCGCCUCCAGCUGUGGCGCGGGGGUGGUGGAUUUUGACCGUUGGGCCUUGAAACGUGUUUGCCUCUUUCUCAUCAGAAACAAUUCCUUGUUCUAGAGUAUUCUCUGUAGGAUUAAGCAGCCGGAUGUUUUCUGCCUGUUUGGAGAAGUCGUUCUACCAGGUUUAUGACCAACACCACCGAGAGCAGGGCUGUUGUAAGAUGAGUCAUCAGGACCCAGAAAAGGCAACGUAGCAAGCCACCGUCCGCCAGAUCACCUUUUCUAGAGUGCAGUGGGUUAUCUUCCUCAUGAGUGAGCCCAGAGGAAACACUGGAUCUCCAUGGAAAAAUCACCCCCAUAAAGGGAAGCAGACCCCGACCUGGGCCGCAAUCUUCACCCAGCCCUCCAUCUUCUAAAAAUAACAGCGCCAGGCCACUCUUCCUUCCAGCUGCAGGCUCAGGACAGGGACUUUCCACAGCAUCUGUCCCACGGGUCACUGCAGCCUCAGCCUCAGGCAAAACCUCUGGAAAUCAGGAAAUCUCCAGCUGUUUCCACAAAACCUCUAGCCCUUCGUUCUACUCUGCACAAACC